rnacentral:rRNA from 1 species
UACGUAGGGUGCAAGCGUUGUCCGGAAUUAUUGGGCGUAAAGAGCUCGUAGGCGGUCUGUCGCGUCUGGUGUGAAAAUCCAGGGCUUAACCCUGGGCCUGCAUCGGGUACGGGCAGACUAGAGUGCGGUAGGGGAGAUCGGAAUUCCUGGUGUAGCGGUGAAAUGCGCAGAUAUCAGGAGGAACACCGGUGGCGAAGGCGGAUCUCUGGGCCGUAACUGACGCUGAGGAGCGAAAGCAUGGGGAGCGAACAGG